CAUUACUCAGUCAGAAAAAAAAGAAUAAAAGUUACCAAUUGCAACAAUCUGGAUGAACCUGGAGGCGGAGCAAUGCUCAAGAAAUGUUUACAGCUGAGCAGGCACUGAGGGGAUUGCCUGAAGGACACGAAAUCCAUCCAUCUCUCCAGAUAGUUUGGAUUAUUUCUCAAGAUCAAGAUGCUUGUGAUGUGUUUGCUUCCUGGAAAAUCACCAUGGAUCGAUUGCAGGUUGCAGGCUAUCUAGCUGUUAUUCUGUCUUUGAGCUGAAAUUCUGAUCACCCAUGUUUCAAAAGCUAAUUAAGCUGUGGUGCAGUUGUAACAAAAGGACCCUGGACAGGAUCUGGGCUCCAGUCCGUGCAUCUAACUGGCUCUGCGGCUCUAGGCAAAUGAGCUCUCCACUGGGAUGCCGCUGCUUCGCCCUGCAAUAGUAAUCACUGUAUUUAUUAAACACUUUCUCUGAAGUGUUCCCUGGUGGCUCAGAUGGUAAAGCAUCUGCCUACAAUGUGGGAGGCCUGGGUUCAAUCCCUGGGUUAGGAAGAUCUCCUGGAGAAGGAAAUGGCAAUC